rnacentral:rRNA from 1 species
GCGCACCAGGCGAGAAUCUUCCACAAUGGACGAAAGUCUGAUGGAGCGACGCCGCGUGCGGGAUGAAGGCCUUAUGGGUUGUAAACCGCUGUCAGGGGGAAGAACAUCGGAAUGAACAAUACUCAUUCCGACUGGCGUUACCCCAGAGGAAGCUCCGGCCAACUCCGUGCCAGCAGCCGCGGUAAUACGGGGGAGCAAGCGUUGUCCGGAAUUAUUGGGCGUAAAGGGCGUGUAGGCGGCGAGGUAAGUCGAAUGUGAAAUCUCACGGCUCAAACCGUGAAACUGCGUUCGAAACUACCCU